rnacentral:tRNA from 1 species
GAUUUUUAGGUUUAUAUAUAGACCUUUGGCCUUCAAAGCCAAGAGAGAAAAAUUUUCAAAAUCUGA